rnacentral:rRNA from 1 species
UACAGAGGGGGCAAGCGUUGUUCGGAAUUACUGGGCGUAAAGGGCGCGUAGGCGGCCUGUUAAGUCGAACGUGAAAUCCCCGGGCUCAACCCGGGAACUGCGUCCGAUACUGGCAGGCUUGAAUCCGGGAGAGGGAUGUGGAAUUCCAGGUGUAGCGGUGAAAUGCGCAGAUAUCGGGAGGAACACCAAUGGCGAAGGCAGCUUGCUGGGACGGUACUGACGCUGAGGCGCGAAAGCGUGGGGAGCAAACAGG